AUAUAUAUAUAUAUAUAAAUAGUUCUAGGCAUGAAUAAACAUUUUGCAUCAAUUUUAGCAUAAGAUAAUGGUUUAAAAGACAAAAGCCUUCAAAUAUUUCUAUGAAAUAUCUAAGUAGUAGUUUCUUUUCUGUGGUAUCUUUUGCUGAAAGAUUUUUAAAGACUCUGAAAAGACUAGUAAUAUCAUACGAAUAUUGUCAUUGUUUUUAAAUCAACAUUUUCUCAUGUGUUCUCACAGUGAUGAUUUUUCUUCCAAGAGAAAAGUGUUCUUCACCUUUGUCAUGUGUUGUAUCAGCAUGUACCAUUGCCUUCAGACUUGGUUACACAACGUCCUAGACUUUGUUAAAGAAUAGAGGUUUUGUGCUAAUUGUAUAUUUUAUGUUUGUUUCUCAGUAUGAUACAUGAACACUAUUCAGUGUUGUUGAUACAGAGCAAGGAUAAAUUCUUAUUUAAGAAUGUAGAAAAUACCUGAAAAUAUGUGGAUGUUUUUGAAGGGAGGAGUGGAAUGUUCAAAAAUGUUCCUGUCUUCCAAGUUUGUGCAAAGUUGUAUUGUCACUAAGAUUUUCUAUUUUCAACACAAUACAAUUCUAAAUAUUUUUCAUCUCAAUGGUUACUUUGCAAGCUUUAAGAAAAUACCAUUAAAUAGUAGGAAAAAAAAAAUCUCCUCGGAAUAAAUUGGCUUCUGUGCAUAUAUUCUUUUGGGGAUGUGUGGUGAUGGAUUUUAUUGCAUAAAAUCAGGUAAGAAAAGUCACAAACCUAUGUUUUGGUAGGGAAGGAUAGCUCUCUGGUCAGGAAAAAUACUUUAAAAGCAUGCUUUAAGUUAUUUUGAGGCGAUAAGCAAUUCAGUAGGUCGCUUUUGAUUUAAAAUUAUUUCAGAAUUUCUUUUUAUCUUUUAAGAUUAGCUUUCAGUAACUGUACUAUUACUAAGAAUCCAGAAAAGGUUAUUUUCUUACCAAACUUUCUUGAAAUCUUAAUUAGGACAUUUAUUAGUAAUAGUGUCUGUGGUAGACUACAUUUAUUUUUUCAGGACUGUAUAGAAACCACAAUCUAAUAUAACAGCGUAUCUUUGAAAUGCCAUCUAACAUCUCUGUAUUUUAGUUAAGAUUCUAACAAAUCUGCACUUGACUGUGUAACAUUAUAAAAACAAAGUUCCAAAUUACUGUUACUUACCUUCAUUAGAUAUCUAGUCCUACAUUUUAUGACCGAAAAUUUAUUGUUCAAAUAGGUAAAACAUUACUAAAAUGCCUGCAAUUGCUCUUUACUUACAAUAUUUAAAACAGAAGUUGACACUUCACAGGAAUGCGGAUGGUAGUUAUGUUAGUUAUCUUGGUGUUGGGUUUUCAGGGUUGUAACUGUCCAUAUAAUUCAAAAUUUUAUCAAAAUUUUUAUUUUCUUUAUUUAAUAACUGGUAGCUCACUUCCGUCAUCUCUAUCCAAAAACCUUUUGAGUCUUGUGAGUUUUUUGGUUAAGUUAGACACCACAGGCACACACAUCACAUACACUCCUAAAAUACACUGCUAAAGUGUACCAGAACAGUGUGAUACAGUAAAAAUAUAGUCUUGGAUAAGGAAUUAAAUUUUCUCAUUUUUAUUCUGAGUCUUUAUAAGACAAGAGAGAUUGCUAGCUGAAUAAAUACUAUGUCUCAGCUUUAUUGCUCAUAUUAACACUAUAUGUGGGUUGGACUACAAGUAUGGUAUUAACACAGAACAAGAGAGUGGUCUCUCAAAGAAAAUGAAUGUUCUUGUAUUUUGGAGAAGGCCAAAUUGUGCCUUACCUCUUCUUUUCUCAUCUAAUGAAGAUGAGUCCUAUUGUAAUCAGUGUCACUUUGUAGCACUGUAUAGAAUUUUCUAUACAGGAGUAGAUGGUGAUGGAUAUUAAAGAGUUGUUGUUGUUUUACUGUUUGCAUUACUUGCAAGUUUAGUAACAGAUGUCUAAAAUUUCAAAGCAGACCCUAAGAUUUUCGUGUGUUGCUAGUGUGGUCUUCCAAAAAUAUCAGAUUAUCAAAUUCCUUUCUAUGGGACUGAAGAUGGGAUGACAGUUAAGAUGUGCAUCUGUUUUCCUGUCUCAAAAACUACAUAUAUCUUUUUUUUCUCAUUAUUUCUUUUUCAAAAAAAAGGGAUGUUUGUAUAAAAAUUACCCAAAAUGUUGUUACUUGUGUAUCAUGAUACAAAUUUUAAUGUAUGCUGCAAUCAUGAUAAUAAACACUCACCAUUCCUCUGAAGACAGCAGUUUCUGCUACACUGUUGGGAUGAGACUUCUGCAUAAAUCUUCAGCACCUGGGCUCCCCUCUUCUGUGAUUCCUGCAGGUCAAUCAAGAGACCUGGGAAGUGUCGAAUCCAGCAGUUCUUGUAAAACAUAGUGGGUGUGCAGAGAGAGUCUGAUUCUACCACCAAAAUCAGAACCAACAGCACUUCUGAUAUUGCCACCAAAAGGACCAUCUCCUCAGUGCAACUGGCUUAGAAGAAAAAAAAUGAAGUCAAGGACAAGCCCUGUGGCUUACUUCAAUUAAAUAGACCUGAAACACCAGAUGAUUUCUUCAGUUUAGGUGGGGCUUUAUUAAGAUAAAGUGCAAUACUGGAUGUGAACAUUGAGUAUCUAAGUGUCUUUCAGACUGUUCAGUAAGUCUUUCUCUGACAUGACAUUUUGAAUAAAGUAACAAAUUCUCAAACACCUAUAGCUGCCAUUGAGGCAAUCGCCAAACAUAGUAAGUGAGGUUACUCCUUGUGUUUAAGUAUGUUUUUACAUGAAUGAGCUUUGGUAACCAGUCAUGUUCUUUACAGAUCUAUGUGUUUACAAUGUAUAUUUUAAACCUGUUUUUAGUUUGCCUCUACUUGCUUAUACUGCUGAUCUUUCUCAGUACCUUUGCAUUUUUAUUCUGUUUUUCUGCUGUCUGCUUCAACCAAGCAGCCUUUUUUUUUUUCAUUACUUGUAAUUAUUUCUCUCUUCGCUGUUUCUGAAUAAAUUAUAAGACCAGGAACAGCUGCAGGGAAACUUUUUGUUUAAAGAAAUAUAAAGAGAAUGAAAUAAGUAAACAACUGCUUUAGGCAGUUUCCUUUAAAAAUGAAAAGUUUUAGCUUAAAUUUCAGGGCCUUCUGCCAGCUUGCCCAUAACCUAACUUUGACUCUUGUAUGGCAAAUACAUAUUAAUAAUUUAAUGCUGAAGUCUUAAAUUAUAAAAAUUUUGCAAGAAGGAAAUAUCUAAAUCUUACCUGCAAUCCAGUGACCAACUGUUCCAUGUGCUCCACAAGGAGGGAUCAAGAGAUUUUUGCUCUUAAUAUGGAAUCUCUGGCCAGUAUCAAACCAGCACUUCAUGUUAUUUGCAAUUCUUUUCAUGGUCUUCUCAAAUUUCUACAAGGAUAACAAACUGGGAGUUGCCUGUUUUCUGUAAAAACAUGGAUGUCUUUGCAGAUCUUUCAGUAAAUGAGAUGUAAACAUACCUGACACAAAGGAAGAGAAUGAUCUUUUUAACAAUUCUUGUUAUGAACUGAAACAGUACCUGAAAUCUUCCACCUGGUCUGGCAGUGAUAGUUAAACAAUCCAAGAGCUUCCUUGCACAAAGUAUUCAUCAGACAUUAACUCUUUUUUUUUUUUUUUGCCAAAUAUAAACAAAAGCCGACACUUUUUCCACUUAGAGUUCCAUAUAUAUAUGUUGUUUUAUUUAGUUUAUAUGGAAUAUAUGGUUCUAGUACUUGAAAUAUAUAAAGACCACAAAGAAGAUCUAUAUGGUACAGGAAAGUAUUCCUGAAAAGGACUAAAAUGUAAAGGGUUUGAUUCUUUAGACAAGUCAGCCUGUCUAAAACUACACUGUACAAAUAGUUUGGUUUUGUUUAUCUGUUGUCCUCACUGCUGUUGUUGCAUGCUUCUCUCUGAAUGUCAGCAGGUAAGAGGACAGUCAAAGGCUAUACGACUUUAGGUCUGUAUGCUGUUUCAAGCGCUAUGAAAUACAGUGCUGCUAUGAAACACCAGUGUCUGUCUUUGAAAGUUUCUCUGUCUCCUGCUCUGUCAAUGGUGGUUAAGCCUGUAUGAUCAGAGAUGGAUACGUCCCUCACAUGAAUGCAGACUAGACAAGAGAGGACAGUUGGGCAUCAUAUCUGGGUCUUCCGUUUCCCAAGCAGAUUACAGGAGGUGAGACAUACUCCUGUGACCCAGAUGUGACAAAGCAAUUUUUGAUGCUGCUAUGAUGAUGUAGAAGUAUAUAGAACAUGAUUGCUGCUAACACAGACCCAGCCUGCCUCAGGAAGGGGAAGAAACCACAUCUGUAUAAAGCAAUUCUCUGCUACAGUUAAAGUCCAACAGUUUAGCUUAAACCAUCUGUGUUUUAGGCUGUCCAUCAGAGCAACUGAAAGUUGGCAACUGCCAGCUGAGAAGUAAGACCAAAGCCUGCAGAUUCCCAGGUGAAUUAUGAACCUGUCUGUCCUCAUACAACCAUCAAUAAGCUUAUUUAAACAAAUAUGUGCAGCAUAAUCCCAUGUAACAUCAACACUAGUAGUCUCCGCUGAAGUCAGCAUACCUCAGUGCCUCUGUUGCACUCGAUGUGAAUAAAUUGUAUGUCUUUGCUGAAA